rnacentral:sRNA from 1 species
AACCCAUGAAACGCUCCAAUGCUUCACAGAAGCUUUCACCAGUCUUCUGUGAAAAACCAGAGAUCUCAUUUUUGAGUCU